rnacentral:tRNA from 1 species
AGUCUAGUGGUUAUGAUUUGCGGCUCCCACCCGCAAGGCCCGGGUUCGAUUCCCGG